rnacentral:rRNA from 1 species
GUCUAUGGCCAUGUCACCCUGAACGUGCCCAAUCUCGUCUGAUCUCGGAAGCUAAGCAGUGUCGGGCCUGGUUAGUACUUGGAUGGGAGACCACCUUGGAAUACCAGGUGAUGCAGGCA